CUCUAAAUCCGUGUCUAAAAUGUCUAAAUUAUUUUAAGAAAUAAACCAAAUUUAUGCAGAGACAGAAUAUAGAGACGGAUGAGAGUGGAGACCAAAUUAAUUCAGUCUCUAAAUAAAAAAUAAUAAUUAAAACAAAAUUUUUUCUCUGUUAUUUGUAUUGGAACCAAAACUUUACUUUCACUUGAAGAAUCCCUCCAACUCCAAAAUUUCCCUAAUUUCCAUUUUCACUUCCCCCCAUCAUUUCCCUCUCAAAUAAAAUUUCCCUAAUUCGAUUUUGACAAAACCCUAACUGCAAUUUCAUUUCCACAAAGAAGACCUAAUUCUAUUUCACAUUCGCUCUUAAGCAAAACCCUAAUUUCAUUUUUGUGUUCUUCUAGUGUUUCUGUUGUUCGUUUUUGCUCCCGAAUUUUUCUUGAUCUAUCGUUCAUCUGGGUUACUUUCGUUCGUCUAGGUUGCUUUCUUUCAUUUGGGUUCCUCUCAUUCUUGUGUUUGUCUGGUUUCCUUUCGUUCAUUUGGGUUCCUCUUGUUCCAUCUAAUUCUUGUGUACCUUUCGUUCCUCUAAUCAGUUCAAUCUUUUGUUGCUACUCUUAAUUCACAUUCACUCCUAAUUUCAUCACCACCUAAUACCCAUUUUCCACACACAAUGACACUAUUGGGCUCAGUCUUUCAAACAAGGAUUGCUUCAUAUGUUGAUUUGUCAUCUCAGGAUAAAGAGGAUGGAUAUUAGCUUAAUAGGUAUUUUAUUAAUUUGAUUUGAUUUCUCUAUUACUACAGUUUGUUCUCUACAGUAAUUUAUCUGCUUUUCUUCCUGCUAUAUGUUCUGAAUUGAUUUCUUUGUUGGUUUUAUUUUCCAUUAACUUUUGAUGUUCUUUCAUUUUUGCAAUCAAAUUAAGAAAUGUUGGCACUAAAAGGGGCGUGAGUUUCAUUUGUGAACUCAUUGCCUGUCUAUGACAAUGUGACAUUUGACAAACUCUUAGCUACAACUAGUUAGCUAAGUUGUGUUUUAUGCACCAUUGCAGCAGAACGCCGAACUCUAUGUGUAGAACCGGAACUUGUGAUUUACAAUUCAUAGCCACAGUAGAAUUUAGAGUUAUCAUGGUGGUGUUGAAAAUUUUGGGGUGAUACAGGCCCUUGAUCCUAACACAAAUGCAGUUAUAAUUUAUAUGUAUAAUAUGCUUUACUGUAUACUUUAAUAUAUAAGUUGGUUUUUGUUUUGUUAAAUUCUUGCUCCAGCUUCACUAAUUGUGAACUUAUAAUCAUGUGUAGCUAAAUCAUUUGGUUGUGGCAGUAGUUGUAAUUGAGCUUGAGUAAUAAUCCUGUUGGUUAGGGGCACAUCUAACUGUACCAUGGUAUAGCUUGAAGAUAACUUAAUAUGAACUAGAAGCAUGAUUGAAUGUCUCUGGAAAAAAAAAACAUACAAAA